UUUUUAAACAAUCUGGUGGGAAAAAAGAACACGCUGUCCCGACCCACUCCAAAAAAGAAAUUACCAGUGCAGCUCUCUGUGGGAAAAGAUGAUGUAAACCUCCAACCAUGUGACGACGUAAUGAAUAUUAGAGUAGAUAAAAGUGGAGGGGGCGCAAACAGGGACGGUUUGAUGCGAGAGUUAGAGGAGGGUCAUUUUCUUCCUGAAGACUUUAAAGAGGUGGGGGCCCCGGCUGCGGCGUCAGAGAAGAUGUGCUGGCUGCAGGUGGAUCAGCCCUUUCUGCGGCCAGGUGAGUCCAGCUGCGGCGCGCGCGCGCCCUCCCCGUGCUCCGCGGCUCAGCUGCUCGCCUCGCGCCUGCGGAGGAUCGGCGACCAGCUGGAGAAGAAGAGCUGGACCCCCAGGGAGGGGCCCGCCGGCCCGGGGAGCUGCCGGAGCGGAGAGCAGGCGGUGUGGAGCGGGAGAGGCUGCUGCUUCUUCGCCGUCUGCUGGGGGGGCUUUCUGCGCAUCGCGGUGCGACUCACGGUGCUCGUGCUGUUCGGCGCGAGACCACACCUGUAGGGCGCGAGGCUCCAAACGCAGGCUCGUGCCACGCGCUCGCAUCUUUUGCACUGACAGGAGAGCACGCGCUCUCUGAACCGGCCACUGCGCUCACGGAGGAGGAGGAGGUGAAGAGGAGCCUGGAUUGUGGACUUGGUCGGGACCUCAGAGGGGAUGGAGAUCGCAGAGGAGUUUGACAGCUUUUCCCGCCGCAGCGGGUCCGUCCAGCCCCCGCGCGGCCGCGGCUCCUCCAUUCUGUCAUCGCUUUUUUUUUUAACCAAACGAUGAUGUAAUCCUCCCCUGGUAGAGCGCAGGGAAAAGCUUACUAAUCAGCUGGACUCCCGUGAAAACACCUGAUUUAAUGCAGCUGUUUUCUUUAUUAAUGCACUGAAAUAAUAAGCUUCAAAAUGCAAUCGACUGUUUUUUAUAUAUAUAAAUAGGUCUGUGUAAACAUAAAAAUAAUAUUGGUGUUUUUUUUAUUGUUUUGACAAAAAAAUUAAAACAAAUCUGAAACAAAAGAAGCAAAAAUUUCUAUGCAGUUGGGGCAUUUAAAAGUGCAAAAUGAAGCACUAAAUGUUUUUUUAAUUGAAGACAGGGUUUUUUGAGGUGCAUGAGCAAUUUUGUAUUUUUAAGCUUUAAAAAUCAUUUUCUAAAUUUGUACAUCACUGUUUGCCGAUUGAAUGACAUUUUUGUUAAGCCUAAACUGAAGAUUUUUUAUUGGAAAAAUAAAAACAAGCUAGCUCUUUUGGCCUUUUAAAAGAUACUAUUUUACAUUUUCAACAUAAAAACUGUGUUUUUGUUUAUUUAAAAUGUUUUUGACGACUAAAUCUUUGAUGAUCCAUAACUUAGUAAAAGUGGUAAUUAAUAGAAAUAUUAAUUUUGGGUUUUAUAAUGAUGUUAAGAUGCUGGAAACAUUGUAUAAAUGACCCCGGAUGGGAGGAGAGCAUAGAGGAUUUGUUGGAGAAAAAACAAGAAUCAAUGCAGAAAUGCAAACAGAAGAACAUCAUUUCAGGUCAUGAGACAAACAAUAAAAAGGUUGCACAGUCUCACCUCAAACUGGGAAAGUAGGUCUCCCUUUAUAUAUUUAUUUUUGCUUUAUUAGCUGUUUGGCAGUGUUAUGUGGCUUUUUAUAGACAUGCUGGAUUUGUGGAUAAGCUGUGUUUUCUAAAAAAAACAAAAACAAUUUUAAUGAUGUUUAUAAAGUCUGUUCUUUUAGUCUAAAAUAUUUCAUAUGGAUUUUUUUAGCAGUCGUAAUAAUAAAAUCUUUUACUGGA